rnacentral:rRNA from 1 species
CCUACGGGAGGCAGCAGUGAGGAAUAUUGGUCAAUGGACGAGAGCCUGAACCAGCCAAGUAGCGUGAAGGAUGACUGCCCUCUGGGUUGUAAACUUCUUUUAUAUGGGAAUAAAAUGUUCCACGUGUGGGAUUUUGUAUGUACCAUAUGCAUAAGGAUCGGCUAACUCCGUGCCAGCAGCCGCGGUAAUACGGAGGUUCCGAGCGUUAUCCGGAUGUAUUGGGUUUAACGGGAGCGUAGGUGGCUUGUUAAGUCAGUUGUGAAAUUUUGCGGCUCAACCGUACAAUUGCAGUUGAAACUGGCAGUCUUGAGUACAGUAGAGGUGGGCGGAAUUCGUGGUGUAGCGGUGAAAUGCUUAGAUAUCACGAAGAACUCCGAUUGCGAAGGCAGCUCACUGGACUGCAACUGACACUGAGGCUCGAAAGUGUGGGUAUCAAACAGGAUUAGAUACCCUUGUAGUC